CCUCUCCCUCCAUACAUCCCAGCAAGCAGAGGGAGCCGGCUGCGGCCUCGGCUAGCGCAGAGAGGGGCUCCCACAGUGCAGUGGUGGGCUGAAGGGCUCCUCAGACGCCGCCAGAGUGGACGCAGAGGCCGAGGAGUCUCUGAGAUUGAGGGCUGCUAGCACAUUGUCACCUCUCAGCAGCACAAACGGAUGAAGACAACCACAGAGGAUCUCUGCAGAUAAAACCAAGGUGAAGGAAGAAACCAAAGACCAAGGAAGGUGAAGGAAGAAAGCAAAAAAUAUCUUUGUGGUGAAAAAAAGCGUUUUCUUAGGAAGUGGAGAAAUCUAGCAGAAACCCAGUAAUACCAUUGAGAGAUGCUGGUUGAAGGUUGAAAGCACUACAAAUUAAAUGACUCUGCCAAGUUCCCAACCGGAGGAGAGAAAAAAAUCAGCUUUGCUGUUUGUUGUUAAAUGUCAGCAAAAGUCACAUUUUAAAAAGGUUUUUUAAAAAAUUUAAGCUCUAAGGUCAAUGAUCUCUUGUAUUAAUAAAGGAUUUCAUCCAGAGGAAAAGAGCAAAGAUGAAAUGUGCAUGUGGAUUCAUAAUCAACUUGAAACACCAAGGAGGCAACUCAGUCCCAAUUAAAUGAAAAAUAUUUGCCCAAAGCUUUCUUGAAGUUUUCCAAAA